rnacentral:rRNA from 1 species
GUUGGACAACCUACCCUCGGGUGGGGGAUAACCUUCGGGAAACUGAGGCUAANACCCCAUAGGCCUCGGAUACUGGAAGGUUCCGAGACCGAAAGCUCCGGCGCCCGAGGAUGGGUCUGCGGCCUAUCAGGUAGUUGGUGGUGUAAAGGACCACCAAGCCUACGACGGGUACGGGCCCUGAGAGUGGGAGCCCGGAGAUGGACACUGAGACACGGGUCCAGGCCCUACGGGGCGCAGCAGGCGCGAAACCUCCGCAAUGCGGGCAACCGCGACGGGGGGACCCCCAGUGCCGUGGCAUCGCCACGGCUUUUCCGGAGUGCAAAAAGCUCCGGGAAUAAGGGCUGGGCAAGGCCGGUGGCAGCCGCCGCGGUAAUACCGGCGGCCCGAGUGGUGGCCGCUAUUAUUGGGCCUAAAGCGUCCGUAGCCGGGCCCGUAAGUCCCUGGCGAAAUCCCACGGCUCAACCGUGGGGCUUGCUGGNGAUACUGCNGGCCU